ACCUGCCUUAUAGUGGGGGAGUAGCCUUUCGAAAGGAAGAUUAAUACCGCAUAAGAUUGUAGUAUCGCAUGAUAUAGCAAUUAAAGGAGCAAUUCGCUAUAAGAUGGACCCGCGUCGCAUUAGCUAGUUGGUGAGGUAAUGGCUCACCAAGGCGACGAUGCGUAGCCGACCUGAGAGGGUGAACGGCCACAUUGGGACUGAGACACGGCCCAGACUCCUACGGGAGGCAGCAUG
rnacentral:rRNA from 1 species